rnacentral:lncRNA from 1 species
UGAAACUCGAGUGAAAGUUAAAGAAAGAAAAAUGAAAAACAACUUUUUUCAUUUAUUUUAUUUAAUAUUCCAUAGUGGUUUUAUACACACCUGUUACCUGAUGCCAACAGUAUUUUCGGGGAUAAAUGAUACUCUAUCUUCUAUACUGUAACAGGUAGUGAGUCAUCCUUUGUACCUGCUGUCCUUGAACGCAGACUGGAUGAAUGUGGGGGAUGUUAAGGUCCGGCGACCUCGACUCUACUGUGUCGUGUGGUAUCUAUCCUCUUUUUCCUACACUACAAAGUUCUUAAUGAAGUGGUCACCAAUGUCCUCCUGUUUAGUAAAUCUAACCACGUUCUCAAUCUACUCCGUUACUUCCUUAUCAGAUAGCCUUCUACUCUGUAACACCUGGUUGAUUAUCAACAGGAAAAGAACUAACGUAACCAUACAGUAUCAUCAAUGGGCAUUAUCAUCGAACAAUAUUUCUGAAUAAAUAAAACCAUAUUUACGGAGUAAACAUUUCCAUAUUUUGAUUGCCUGCUUUGAAAGAGUCGUUGGACUCGAAGAAUAUAAUCGCAUUAAAUAUAAGUAUAUAUAUAUAUA